GACGAACGCUGGCGGCGUGCUUAACACAUGCAAGUCGAACGAGGAAGGAGAGCUUGCUCUCCGGAUUAGUGGCGAACGGGUGAGUAACACGUGACUAACCUGCCCGUUUCUCUGGGAUAACGCUCCGAAAGGAGUGCUAAUACCGGAUACGAACUCUGAACACAUGUACGGUGUUGGAAAGUUUUUCGGAAAGGGAUGGAGUCGCGGCCUAUCAGCUUGUUGGUGAGGUAACGGAUCACCAAGGCGACGAGGGGUAGCCGGCCGGAGAGGGCGACCGGCAACACUGGGUCUGGGAACCGGCCCCGACUCGUCGGCGAGGCAGCGGUGGGGAAUAUUGCACUAUGGGCGAAAGCCUGAUGCAGCGACGCCGCGUGAGGGAUGAAGGUCUUCUGAUUGUAAACCUCUUUCAAACGGGACGAAGCGAAAGUGACCGUCCCUAAAGAAGAAGCACCGGCUAACUACGUGCCCGCAGCCGCCGUAA
rnacentral:rRNA from 1 species